GAAGAAGGGUUUCGGUCGUAAAGUCUGUUGUUAAAGAAGAACACGUAUGAGAGUAACUGUUCAUACGUUGACGGUAUUUAACCAGAAAGUCACGGCUAACUACGUGCCAGCAGCCGCGGUAAUACGUAGGUGGCAAGCGUUAUCCGGAUUUAUUGGGCGUAAAGAGAGUGCAGGCGGUNUUCUAAGUCUGAUGUGAAAGCCUUCGGCUUAACCGGAGAAGUGCAUCGGAAACUGGAUAACUUGAGUGCAGAAGAGGGUAGUGGAACUCCAUGUGUAGCGGUGGAAUGCGUAGAUAUAUGGAAGAACACCAGUGGCGAAGGCGGCUACCUGGUCUGCAACUGACGCUGAGACUCGAAAGCAUGGGUAGCGAACAGGAUUAGAUACCCUGGUAGUCCAUGCCGUAAACGAUGAGUGCUAGGUGUUGGAGGGUUUCCGCCCUUCAGUGCCGGAGCUAACGCAUUAAGCACUCCGCCUGGGGAGUACGACCGCAAGGUUGAAACUCAAAGGAAUUGACGGGGGCCCGCACAAGCGGUGGAGCAUGUGGUUUAAUUCGAAGCUACGCGAAGAACCUUACCAGGUCUUGACAUCUUGCGCCAACCCUAGAGAUAGGGCGUUUCCUUCGGGAACGCAAUGACAGGUGGUGCAUGGUCGUCGUCAGCUCGUGUCGUGAGAUGUUGGGUUAAGUCCCGCAACGAGCGCAACCCUUGUUACUAGUUGCCAGCAUUAAGUUGGGCACUCUAGUGAGACUGCCGGUGACAAACCGGAGGAAGGUGGGGACGACGUCAGAUCAUCAUGCCCCUUAUGACCUGGGCUACACACGUGCUACAAUGGACGGUACAACGAGUCGCGAACUCGCGAGGGCAAGCAAAUCUCUUAAAACCGUUCUCAGUUCGGACUGCAGGCUGCAACUCGCCUGCACGAAGUCGGAAUCGCUAGUAAUCGCGGAUCAGCAUGCCGCGGUGAAUACGUUCCCGGGCCUUGUACACACCGCCCGUCACACCAUGAGAGUCUGUAACACCCAAAGUCGGUGGGGUAACCUUUUAGGAGCCAGCCGCCUAAGGUGACAGAUGAUAGGGAAGCG
rnacentral:rRNA from 2 species